CCAAAGGACUUCUUAAAGUCCAUAAAAGUUAUCCAAAGGACUUCUA
rfam:Helianthus annuus linkage group 1, whole genome shotgun sequence.